rnacentral:rRNA from 1 species
UACAGAGGUCCCAAGCGUUGUUCGGAGUUACUGGGCGUAAAGGGUGCGUAGGCGGCCCUGUAAGUAUGGUGUGAAAUCUCCCGGCUUAACUGGGAGGGUGCGCUAUAGACUGCGGGGCUCGAGUGUGGGAGAGGAAAGUGGAAUUCCUGGUGUAGCGGUGAAAUGCGUAGAUAUCAGGAGGAACACCGGUGGUGUAAACGGCUUUCUGGACCAUAACUGACGCUGAGGCACGAAAGCGUGGGUAGCAAACAGG